rnacentral:snoRNA from 2 species
UCCCCCUCAGAAUCGUACCUGGAGAGUUUCCAGUAUUCUACCAGUCUCAACUAUGGGAAGAAGAGUCAAGAAGAGGCCUACCCAUUCCAUUCCUAGCUUGGGCAGUAGCUAGCAAGUGGAAGGCAAUCUACUACAAGU